GAUGAACGCUGGCGGCGUGCCUAAUACAUGCAAGUCGAGCGAACAGAUAAGGAGCUUGCUCCUUUGAAGUUAGCGGCGGACGGGUGAGUAACACGUGGGUAACCUACCUAUAAGACUGGGAUAACUUCGGGAAACCGGAGCUAAUACCGGAUAACAUUUAGAACCGCAUGGUUCUAAAGUGAAAGAUGGUUUUGCUAUCACUUAUAGAUGGACCCGCGCCGUAUUAGCUAGUUGGUAAGGUAACGGCUUACCAAGGCGACGAUACGUAGCCGACCUGAGAGGGUGAUCGGCCACACUGGAACUGAGACACGGUCCAGACUCCUACGGGAGGCAGCAGUAGGGAAUCUUCCGCAAUGGGCGAAAGCCUGACGGAGCAACGCCGCGUGAGUGAUGAAGGGUUUCGGCUCGUAAAACUCUGUUAUUAGGGAAGAACAAAUGUGUAAGUAACUGUGCACAUCUUGACGGUACCUAAUCAGAAAGCCACGGCUAACUACGUGCCAGCAGCCGCGGUAAUACGUAUGUGGCAAGCGUUAUCCGGAAUUAUUGGGCGUAAAGCGCGCGUAGCGGUUUCUUAGUCUGAUGUGAAAGCCCACGGCUCAACCGUGGAGGGUCAUUGGAAACUGGGAAACUUGAGUGCAGAAGAGGAAAGUGGAAUUCCAUGUGUAGCGGUGAAAUGCGCAGAGAUAUGGAGGAACACCAGUGGCGAAGGCGACUUUCUGGUCUGUAACUGACGCUGAUGUGCGAAAGCGUGGGGAUCAAACAGGAUUAGAUACCCUGGUAGUCCACGCCGUAAACGAUGAGUGCUAAGUGUUAGGGGGUUUCCGCCCCUUAGUGCUGCAGCUAACGCAUUAAGCACUCCGCCUGGGGAGUACGACCGCAAGGUUGAAACUCAAAGGAAUUGACGGGGACCCGCACAAGCGGUGGAGCAUGUGGUUUAAUUCGAAGCAACGCGAAGAACCUUACCAAAUCUUGACAUCCUUUGAAAACUCUAGAGAUAGAGCCUUCCCCUUCGGGGGACAAAGUGACAGGUGGUGCAUGGUUGUCGUCAGCUCGUGUCGUGAGAUGUUGGGUUAAGUCCCGCAACGAGCGCAACCCUUAAGCUUAGUUGCCAUCAUUAAGUUGGGCACUCUAGGUUGACUGCCGGUGACAAACCGGAGGAAGGUGGGGAUGACGUCAAAUCAUCAUGCCCCUUAUGAUUUGGGCUACACACGUGCUACAAUGGACAAUACAAAGGGCAGCUAAACCGCGAGGUCAUGCAAAUCCCAUAAAGUUGUUCUCAGUUCGGAUUGUAGUCUGCAACUCGACUACAUGAAGCUGGAAUCGCUAGUAAUCGUAGAUCAGCAUGCUACGGUGAAUACGUUCCCGGGUCU
rnacentral:rRNA from 1 species